rnacentral:rRNA from 1 species
GUAGCUAACGCAUUAAGUUCCCCGCCUGGGGAGUACGGCCCGCAAGGCUAAAACUCAAAGGAAUUGACGGGGGCCCGCACAAGCGGCGGAGCAUGCGGAUUAAUUCGAUGCAACGCGAAGAACCUUACCAAGGCUUGACAUAGCCGAGAACGCUGUAGAGAUACAGAACUCUUUGGACACUCGGUUACAGGUGGUGCAUGGUUGUCGUCAGCUCGUGUCGUGAGAUGUUCGGUUAAGUCCGGCAACGAGCGCAACCCUCGUCCUAUGUUGCCAGCACGUUAUGGUGGGAACUCAUGGGAUACUGCCGUGGUCAACACGGAGGAAGGUGGGGAUGACGUCAAGUCAUCAUGCCCCUUAUGUCUUGGGCUUCACGCAUGCUACAAUGGCCGAUACAAAGGGCUGCGAUACCGCGAGGUGGAGCGAAUCCCAAAAAGUCGGUCUCAGUUCGGAUUGGGGUCUGCAACUCGACCCCAUGAAGUCGGAGUCGCUAGUAAUCGCAGAUCAGCAACGCUGCGGUGAAUACGUUCCCGGGCCUUGUACACACCGCCCGUCAAGUCAUGAAAGUCGGUAACACCCGAAGCCGGUGGCCUAACCCUUGUGGAGGGAGCCGUCGAAGGUGGGACUGGUGAUUAGGACU